GGCGCCAUCUCAUCUCACCUAGAAAAAAAUGUUAAACAACUCCUCCGAUGACCGAUCCCUCCUUUUCUAAACCCUUUAUAUACAACAACUACUCCACCUUCAUUCCUUCACUCACCAAACCAAACCAAACCCACACAUAACCCGGCCAAAUAACAAUGAGGUAUUCUUAUAAUUCUAAUAAUUUACUACUGUUGGCUUUUAAUGCCAUUUCCAUUCUCAUCUUCUUUCUUUUGCUAUCCCACCCUAUGCAUGUCGAGGGUUCGAGGCCUAUCAAAGAUCAUCAUCAUCAAUCUAAUUCUUCGCCUAAUUUUAAUUUUCCGGUGUUGGAGGAUUUCUUGAUGGGGAGAGCUUAUUCGGGGCCAAGUCACCGUGGUCGCGGCCAUUAAAGGCUAGCUAGAUAGGUAGCUUAUAUAAUUGCUUCAUGCACCAAAAUGGUGAACAGCAUAUAUAUAUAUAUAUAUAUAUAUAUAUAUAUAUAUAUAUAUAUAUAUAUAUAUAUAUAUAUAUAUAUAUAUAUAUAGGCUAGGCUUGUAAUCAGAAUAUUUCAGCAUCAAUGCAUGAUAGGCACAGCAAGUUCGCAAUAAAUAAAAAUGUCAGGACAUAUUUGUUUAAAUCAUUUUACUACUCAAUCUCAUAAAAUUGUUUGAUCCAAAAGAAAAUCUUCUAUAACUUUGCGCAUGAGGUUGAUUUGGUCCGUUACUUGAACUAAUUCUAUAUAUCAGAGUGAGAGAGCGAGAAAUUAAGAGAGAUUGCAUGUGUACAUGCGUAUGAUGAAUCAAUAUAUAUAUAUACACAGUGGCGGAACCAGAGCCUUUUUAUACGGAGGGCAAAAUUUUUUGGUAUAUUCAGAUAAUAGAUAGGAGCAUAAAUUAAAACAUUCUGGAGCUACAAACAUAAUUAUUAAAUCGUUAACACUGCAUAAAAACAUUUCUCCUAGAAUAGCUGUUAAUACGAAUACGAGAGCAUAUUAUCAUAUUGUUGACAAUUUGAGUUAAAUAAAUAUUAUAAAUUUUUUGGGAGUAAAAAAAAAAAAUUGGAGUAAAUUAGUAUACUUUUUGGGUGAAUUUAAGCAAAUAAACAUUUUCCAUCAUCAAAUAUCAACAAAAUCUGUGUAGUUAACCAUAAAUCAUACUCCAAUAUACAACUCUCUCUAUUUAUAUACUUAAAUGUUUUCUACUUUUUGGGUGGACGAUUAAGUAAAUCACUGGGUACCAGAAUGAGCUUUAGAGUCACCGCCAAAGUUGUCGGAAUUUUGCGUCUCCGGCGGAGUGAAACAAGCUAUGAAAACUUCUGCACAGAUCGGGCGGCAACCUUGACUGGGUUUCUGCCGGAAAUUGACCUCUGCGAAGAGGAUGAAGAGGAAUAGGUGGAGCUUGGGGGUGAGUAGCAUUAAGAAGAGGAAUAGGUGGAGCUUGACUGGGUUGCUUUGGAACCUUUGUUGCAGUUAAGCGUGCUAAAAAGGUUGGAAAUUAAUCACUGACCCCGCCUCCCUACCGGCGUCCGGCGUCCGGCUACCGGGGGCAACUGCCCCCACC
rnacentral:lncRNA from 1 species